rnacentral:rRNA from 1 species
AUGGUUUUUGAAGACGAGAGCAGCAACGACAACUCAAGCCUUCCGUACAUGCACUCGAAAACCUCCACCGAUGGGCUCAACCAGGUACCUUUCUCUCUUGAGGACCCGGAUUACAAGGGUCUUGAGCUAGAUCUGAUAGAGUUGUGCGAGAAGCAUGGGAAGCCAUCAGAGAGGCUUGUUGCAUUUGAAGGAACAAUGACUGGGAGAAGUUAUGUGUAUGGUAAUUUUGCUAGUCAUAUAUGCCAUACUGUAGUUCUCAUUGUAGGAAUGGUGAAUAUUAUGGAAGGUCAGAAUUGUGGGUUUGUUCAGUGGGUUGAUGAGCAGUGGCCCCCAACAAUGGAGAAUGCAUUGCUGAAGUUUUGGUCAAUGGUUGAAGACAGCAAGUCUGCUAGGGUGAAUGAUAAUCUUCAAAGUGCUUUAACUAUUCACCAUUUGACAGAAGAAAAGAAGAAGCUGGAUGCAGAUUAUGACAAUUUAGUGAAAGAUGUGCAUCAACUUGUGGACUUUCAGCAGGAUAGGGUUGUGGAUUUUAGUUAUCUGCAGUCAGUUGUCACAUAUCAGCACGAAUGCAGAGCUGAAUUGGCAAUUGCCAUCCAAAACCUCAAGUUGAAGUAUAUGAAAGAGAAGGAAUUGCUGAGUGAGGCUAGGAUGAAUUUGGAGUUGAAGAAUGCAGAGUUCACAAAGUUUGAGGAGAAGCUCACCCAAGAGAAGCUAGAGUUGAAGUUCCAGGUUGCUGAUCUGUUGAAGCUCAAGGAAAACCAUAAUGAAGAGAAGCAGAUGCAAGAGUUUAAGAUAACUGAGCUCAUGAAGGCAGAAAGAAGCUGA